UCCUCCAUUCCAAGUUCAGAUAUACACUAUUGGUAAGAAAUCACAUGAUAAAAGCAGAGGGCAUGAUGGGUUGGAAGAUCUGAAUGCUAAGAUCCCCGUAGGUUAUAUGCAGAGCUGUUAGUGUUUCAGUUGAAGAUUGUGGAAUUACAUAGAGGUUUCCUUUCUUAAUUCCUACGUGAAUGGUGACAUAUUGUCACAGUCAAGAAACAAGAAAAAUGCCACGUCAGAUGACAGAAUGCCCAAUAUGCUCUGUUCCAUAUGUUGCAGUUGGGCAGCAUUUAAAAAAGUACCACCAUGUUGUAAACAAAGAAGAAUUACAUUUACUGC